UACGGAGGAUGCAAGCGUUAUCCGGAAUGAUUGGGCGUAAAGCGUCCGCAGGUGGCAAUGUAAGUCUGCUGUCAAAGCGUCUGGCUCAACCAGAUAAAGGCAGUGGAAACUACAUAGCUAGAGUAAGGUAGGGGUAGAGGGAAUUCCUGGUGUAGCGGUGAAAUGCGCAGAUAUCAGGAGGAACACCGGUGGCGAAGGCGGAUCUCUGGGCCUUACCUGACGCUGAGGCGCGAAAGCUAGGGGAGCAAACAGG
rnacentral:rRNA from 1 species